CUGUGGCUCAGCCGGUAGAGCGCGCGCUUCAUAAGCGUAAGGUUGCAGGUACGAGUCCUA
rnacentral:tRNA from 1 species